rnacentral:rRNA from 1 species
AUGACCGGCUGGCAUGACCCAUGCCGGAUGUCGAGGAAGGAGCUAACGCCGGCCAGAAUCGUCCAGCGCGUCAACAACAUCACCAAGGCCGAGCUCAGCAAGACGGCGUGGCACUUCGGAAAGGAGAUGUACAGUUGGACGAACCACGAGCAGGCGCUCUUCCCGAGUCAGCAGACCGCUGAUGGACUGAAUCGCCAAGACAUGGAGCCGGGCCUGCCCCACUCGGACGAGGAGGAGGCGGGAAUGAUGCGCGCCUCAAGGGUGUCGAAGCCGGCGGAUCCGGCCAAGCCGCGCCCCCGCCCGCGGGAGCAGAGGCCAGCAUCACCCCCGUCCGUGGGAGCAAAGGCCAACAUCGCCCCCGGAGGCGGCUUCAGAAGGCGGCCGGGAUCAGGCCAUCUAGUAGUUCGUUGGGCGCUGAGCGACCACACGGUAAAGACGCAGUGGAGAGGCCGCCCAGGAAACGCCGAGCCAUGUCGGCCGACGUGCGGGAAGAAUUCUGUCAAGAAGAAGCGCCUGCUCAUCCCAUCAGCGGGUCAGAGAAGGGUGGUCCCCAUGGUCGACGGAGCCCCCCUCGAGCUGGCGGAGACGGCCGUCCCGAACACGCCCGGAGGUGGCGGGGGCGAGCCGGCCAGGGCCCUGAGGAGGAGAUCAUGGCCCGGCAUACGGGUGUGGCGCCCGAGGAGGCAGAGCGCACCGCGUGAAGGGACAAGGCGGCCGCCGAGAAGGAGCUGCAGGAGACCUCGGCCACGGCAUGGAGGGCUGCCGCAGAGGCACGAAAGAGGACUGUCGAGGACUUGGUGUGGCCGGCUUGGGUGGAGAACUCGCUACCGCCAUCGCCGCCAUGGGAGCAUCGCACGAAGUCGUGGCACGACCCGGCCCACCGGGCGGAGGUUGACGCCCACGCCACUGCCGAAGCAGUCCACCGCGGUGAGGCGGACGACUCCAAGACGGACGUCGACGAGACCAUCAUCACGGAGUCGCCGCCGACUGCUGACCCGACUGACUGGGUCGAGCACGAGGACAGCGAGGAACGCGUGUCGGAGACCACGCCAGCCGAUGGGGGAGCGCCACCACCGAGCGCAGAGGCAACACCCGCGGGCUCUGGUGCCAUGGUGGUCGUUGGGCCAUAGCCCCCGAGGCGCGGCCUCAAGCCAAGGCCGGAUAGGAGCAGGACCAGCGCCGGGUCCGCGACCCGGAUGCAGCAGACCUAGGGAGGAGCCGGCGAGGCCACAAGCGGAUCACGCACCAGCAACCUGGACGCGGCGGUGGAUGUCGUGCGCCAGCAGUUCAACGACAACCGCAGCGGCCUAG